UAAGUCCACUGCGCGCUCACUUCUCACAUGCCGCUGCACCUUUGCGCUCAGCUCCGCGUUUACGACUCUCAACCGUGCGCGCACAGGUUCUUUAGGUUUUAACUUUUCUUUAUGGAGCAUGCGAGAACGACUUAAGUUUCAAACUUAAGUACAUAUCUUCGCUUUGAAUAUUCAUACUACAGUCUUACCGCCGUCUACGCCUUAGCAGAUUAUCUACCAUUGGUUGGUAAGCAGAGAAAUUGAGGAAUAAUUCCAGGAAGUGUAUGACUUCCCACUGUGGAACGCGAAUAAUCUUACGAUGGAAAUGAUCUUAACAACUUUACAUCUCACUUUAAACAUGUACAAAGAAUUUUUAAAGUAUUUUUUAAGUGUGUAAUGGAACUGCUGGAUGACACUUGUAGUCUAUUGCUUGUUGAAGCACUCAAUUAACUAGCUGUUUUAAAUAGAAGUCUUUUAGUGUUAAGCUGACUGAAAUACCACUUUAAUUGGUACUUCCUGUACAAUACGAUAUAGAUAUGUGUGUGAGGCAUGUGAACAUCGACAUGUGAAACAAUCUUCAAACCGCACGUUGAAUGAUUAUGGUAUUUUUAAAUGUAAAUCCGCAUUGUGUGCGGUCAAAAUAAAAUUGCAAUCACGUACGAUUAAUUUUGGUAUUUCCAGGAAUUAUUUGCCGAAAUUUAACUUUCUGUCAACUAUUUUGGGCAGGUUUUAAUUAAUUAUGUGCGAAUGAUUUACACGUUAACGAUCUCGUCUGAAUUUCAAUGGGCAAACAAACGUUUUAAACACUUUGUGUGCAUAAACCGCACGAUGGCACUAAUUCGAUGAACACACAUUCGAACACGAUGAUAUGUAAUGUCCGACUCUAAUGAGCAACCGCGAACGUUGUGAACUCUUUGUCACUUUCGACUUUGCCUCGUCUCUUUCAAUCCGAACACAUCAUCGCACUAACGCGUCCGGGAAGUUUACGCAUUAACUUCUUCAGUUGGAUGAUAUAUUUGCUUCGUGGUUUUAUUUUUAGACACUGUUGGACUUGGCGGGUGGCCUUUUUUGUAAGGCACGUAUAUUAAUGUGUUAAAUGCAAUGUUAUUUCAAUGUUGGAAUCAAAAUCACGAACUUGAAGUUAUCUUAUCAUGUUGUGCAAUCGUAAUUUAAACAUACGAACAGUUAAACUAUUUGACGAUGUAUAACAAUUACGCAUUGUUUGAGUUUUUACAUUUUGUAUAAAAUAUUAUAAAUUAAAUAUUAUACACACUGGUUUUACUCACA